UAUUAGGGAAGCAUUUCUGCCAUUAGUUCCAGUGAUGAAUCAUCAGCUGAUCCUCCUGGAUGAGCUGCGGAAGCUGCCUCCCUCCAGCUGAUUAUUUUAACAGGGAUUAAACUCGGUGACAUGCACUCAGAAGAAAGGGCCUGAAGCUCCUAUGGAUUUUUGUUAGCUCUUUCUGCUUCCAGCAAUUUCAGGCCAAACUUCAUGACCCCUGGCUCAUUUGGUGCCCAAUCAGCCAGCUGCUCAAAUAUAUUUUCUCAUAGUUACUGGGCAUCUGUUUCUAAAUGGAUUCCAUAAUUAAUAUUGUUCAGAUUCCA